GGGUCAGUAGGUUGGUCGUGCCACCGGUACGUACUGGUCUCACUGAUUCCUCCUUCCUGAUGAACCGUAAUGCCAUUAAUUUGGUGUUGCGGGGAAACAGGACUGUUACUUUGAAAAAAUUAGAGUGUUUAAAGCAAGCUAACGCUUGAAUACAUUAGCAUGGAAUAAUGAAAUAGGACGAUCGAUCCUAUUUUGUCGGUUUCUAGGAUUGACGUA
rnacentral:rRNA from 1 species